rnacentral:rRNA from 1 species
GACGAACGCUGGCGGCGUGCUUAACACAUGCAAGUCGAACGGAAAGGCCCUGCUUUUGUGGGGUGCUCGAGUGGCGAACGGGUGAGUAACACGUGAGUAACCUGCCCUUGACUUUGGGAUAACUUCAGGAAACUGGGGCUAAUACCGGAUAGGAGCUCCUGCUGCAUGGUGGUGGUUGGAAAGUUUCGGCGGUUGGGGAUGGACUCGCGGCUUAUCAGCUUGUUGGUGGGGUAGUGGCUUACCAAGGCUUUGACGGGUAGCCGGCCUGAGAGGGUGACCGGCCACAUUGGGACUGAGAUACGGACCAGACGCGUACGGGAGGCAGCAGUGGGGAAUAUUGCACAAUGGGCGGAAGCCUGAGGCAGAAACGCCGCGUGCGGGAUGACGGCCUUCGGGUUGUAAACCGCUUUCGCCUGUGACGAAGCGUGAGUGACGGUAAUGGGUAAAGAAGCACCGGCUAACUACGUG